rnacentral:rRNA from 15 species
GUAAGUUCGCGAGAAGGAGGCCCAGUUUCUACGUAAGUAUUGACUGGGGGCACAAACCAGGGGGUGGCGACUGUUUACUAAAAACACAGGGCUCUGCGAAGUCGCAAGACGACGUAUAGGGUCUGACGCCUGCCCGGUGCCUGAAGGUUAAAAGGAGGAGUGAGAGCUCCGAAUUGAAGCCCAGGUAAACGGCGGCCGUAACUAUAACGGUCCUAAGGUAGCGAAAUUCCUUGUCGGGUAAGUUCCGACCUGCACGAAUGGCGUAACGACUUCCCCGCUGUCUCCAACAUCGACUCAGCGAAAUUGAAUUGCCUGUCAAGAUGCAGGCUUCCCGCGGUUAGACGGAAAGACCCCGUGCACCUUUACUACAGCUUCGCACUGGCAUCAGGAUUGUGAUGUGCAGGAUAGGUGGUAGGCAUCGAAACCAGAACGCUAGUUCCGGUGGAGCCUCCCUUGAGAUACCACCCUUCGCACUCUUGAUGUCUAACCGCGGCCCAUUAUCUGGGUCCGGGACCCUGCGUGGCGGGUAGUUUGACUGGGGCGGUCGCCUCCUAAAGCGUAACGGAGGCGCGCGAAGGUUGGCUCAGAGCGGUCGGAAAUCGCUCGUUGAGUGCAAUGGCAGAAGCCAGCCUGACUGCGAGACUGACAAGUCGAGCAGAGACGAAAGUCGGCCAUAGUGAUCCGGUGGUCCCGAGUGGAAGGGCCAUCGCUCAACGGAUAAAAGGUACGCCG